rnacentral:rRNA from 1 species
AUUGAACGCUGGCGGAAUGCUUUACACAUGCAAGUCGAGCGGCAGCACGGGGGCAACUCUGGUGGCGAGCGGCGAACGGGUGAGUAAUACAUCGGAACAUGCCCAGUCGUGGGGGAUAACACUUCGAAAGAAGUGCUAAUACCGCAUACGUCCUGAGGGAGAAAGCGGGGGAUCUUCGGACCUCGCGCGAUUGGAGUGGCCGAUGUCAGAUUAGCUAGUUGGUGGGGUAAAGGCCUACCAAGGCCACGAUGUGUAGCUGGUCUGAGAGGAUCGUCAGCCAAGCUGGGACUGAGACACGGCCCAGACUCCUACGGGAGGCAGCAGCGGGGAAUUUUGGACAAUGGGGGCAACCCUGAUCCAGCCAUUCCGCGUGAGUGAAGAAGGCCUUCGGGUUGUAAAGCUCUUUCGGCAGGAACGAAACGGCGAGCUCUAACAUAGCUUGCUAAUGACGGUACCUGAAGAAGAAGCACCGGCUAACUACGUGCCAGCAGCAGCCGCAGUAA